UGAAACAAUGGUUAACCGGGCAGGGUUAACACACUGGUCUCGUCAAGAAGGGUUAAUCCCUUCCUCUCGAGGAUCGCUGGCUGGAUCACCGGUGGUUGAUCUCCUGCACAAGGAAACAAACCGUGACUCGUAACAAGGAGGAUGGGGUGGGGGGUGCUCCUUGUUACCACUCUCCGGCGUGAGAAUCAGUAGUUUGCUUGGGAAGCAAAGUAAGAUAGUAGUAGUAGUGAGAGAGUUGUGAGAAGAUACCUCAAACCUGGUUUGGGGUUGGUAUUUAUAGCCGAGGAGUGAAGGAGGAUGAUGAUGGAUGGACUGACGACGUGCUGCACCUUUUCAGGUGUGUCAGGCUCGUCGGUUAUGGAGGUUACGCCACGUCAGUCCAUUGCUUACGUAGCUCUGACAGGUAACUGCCAUUGGUGCCACUUGCACUGUGGUGUCAGUACCACUUGCUUGAGUGCAUAGGAUGCGGUGCAAGCCGCAUCGCUACGUGCGGUAACAUCUGAAGUUACCGCGUCUCCUACUUGUGAUCAAGGAAUACGCGAGAUGCGGUGCUAGCCGCAUCGUCGUCUUGCCUGCAUCCCUUGUCGUGACGAAAAUGUCCGUAUGGUGCGGUGUCAGCCGUACCGCUACGUUCAUCUUCUUCUAUGCCUAAGGCUUUCCUGUAUUGAUAGAAGUGUUCACCGGAUGCGGUGCGAUGCCGCAUCGCUGUGAAUACUUCCGUUUUCAUACACCAGAUGUGAUGCUAUGUCGCAUCACUCUACCGUUCUCAUGUUCCAUGUAAGUCCUCCUUUGUUAUUAGAUAGAUUGGAUUCAACCCUUGUGUCGACGCGUUCCCGCAUGGGCACAAGUAGGUUGUUAGCUAGUGGGGGUUUU
rnacentral:lncRNA from 1 species